UCAUGUGACCUGAGUCAAAGUUCACACACCAGUCAAAGCGCGCGCCAGACUGCUAGUUUACGGCUUUGUUUGCUAAUUAGCUUUCACUGACAAAUGAAAUUGAAAAUAACAGUUUAAAUGAAAGCUGGAAAUUUAAGUUCCGACGUUUCAGUCCACAAUGAAAUCUUAGUGGAGUCCUUAAACAUUUCCGCUGCUCCUUUACCUUCCGGGCUACAGGAGCCUCUGAUUCCGCUAGCAAGAUCCUCUCUACACGCGGUGCCCCAUCAUUAACGGCCAUCGGCUGGUUAUCCGCCCGUCCGCCGGAGCUCAGACCAAGGCUGGGAUCUUCAGCAAUGGAUGCGGAACCUGCGACAACAAGGCUGCUUCCAGAAGGGCUACAAGCUAACAUUGCUGAGGGAUCUUUCUUGUACUUCCGCCGCAGGAAGACAGCAGAGGUGUCGUUGACUGGAAGAAAUUCUCUAAAGAAUUUCAGGAAGCCGUACCUCAUAUCAAACUGCUGUGGAAGUUGUGGAAGCUCAUUUAAAGAUUGUGGUGCAGGUUACUGGGGCAAUGGGAAAAGAGGACAGCUGAAAGGCUUUUAUUCUGAACCCAGUACUCCAGGGAACUGCAGCCACUUAUGCGCCAUGGAUGCAGGAUGCUAUGAAGACUUUUAAGAUAUGUGGGACGAAAUGUCUUCAAAAGUUAAAUACUUCAGAAGUACACCACCACCAAGUGAUGCCUGCACAUUUUUUUUAUAUAAAAUAAAGAACAUCUUUAACUUCA